CCUACGGGUGGCAGCAGUGAGGAAUAUUGGUCAAUGGACGAGAGUCUGAACCAGCCAAGUAGCGUGAAGGAUGACUGCCCUAUGGGUUGUAAACUUCUUUUAUAUGGGAAUAAAACGUUCCACGUGUGGGAUUUUGCAUGUACUUUAUGAAUAAGGAUCGGCUAACUCCGUGCCAGCAGCCGCGGUAAUACGGAGGAUCCGAGCGUUAUCCGGAUUUAUUGGGUUUAAAGGGAGCGUAGAUGGGUUGUUAAGUCAGUUGUGAAAGUUUGCGGCUCAACCGUAAAAUUGCAGUUGAUACUGGCAGUCUUGAGUACAGUAGAGGUAGGCGGAAUUCGUGGUGUAGCGGUGAAAUGCUUAGAUAUCACGAAGAACUCCGAUUGCGAAGGCAGUUUACUAAACUGCGACUGACAUUGAUGCUCGAAAGUGUGGGUAUCAAACAGGAUUAGAUACCCUGGUAGUC
rnacentral:rRNA from 1 species